rnacentral:rRNA from 1 species
UACACUCCUACGGGAGGCAGCAGUGGGGAAUUUUGGACAAUGGGCGAAAGCCUGAUCCAGCAAUGCCGCGUGAGUGAAGAAGGCCUUCGGGUUGUAAAGCUCUUUUGUCAGGGAAGAAACGGUGAAAGCUAAUAUCUUUUGCUAAUGACGGUACCUGAAGAAUAAGCACCGGCUAACUACGUGCCAGCAGCCGCGGUAAUACGUAGGGUGCAAGCGUUAAUCGGAAUUACUGGGCGUAAAGCGUGCGCAGGCGGUUUUGUAAGUCUGAUGUGAAAUCCCCGGGCUCAACCUGGGAAUUGCAUUGGAGACUGCAAGGCUAGAAUCUGGCAGAGGGGGGUAGAAUUCCACGUGUAGCAGUGAAAUGCGUAGAUAUGUGGAGGAACACCGAUGGCGAAGGCAGCCCCCUGGGUCAAGAUUGACGCUCAUGCACGAAAGCGUGGGGAGCAAACAGGAUUAGAUACCCUUGUAGUCCCAUGA